UCCUUGCCCACACGCCCAACCUUGAAGAGAUUGGGGACUAUUUUUAACUGACUUACCGUGAACGUGACCGGGUUUCCGAGGCCUGGCUCCUCAUCUGUCGUAAACUCCUAUCGAUCAGAGACUGGUGGCAUCACUGACAAGUGCCUUAGAGCAGAACAGCCAGAGAGAAGCACGGCAGAAACGUGGAAACCAGAACACUUCCUGUACAGGACCCAGCAUCUCUUCUGGCCAUCGAGGUGACUUUUUCUUAGCUACUAUCCUUAGUGCUGCACAACCCAGCACCACUCUCAGCCGAACUUUCAGUAAACACCUUUUGAUGCA